rnacentral:snRNA from 1 species
UUAGUUCGCAGUUAGUUUGCAUU